ACAUGUUCAUUUUGUUUUUUAUAAUAUAUGAAGGAAUAGGUACAUUGACGGUACUUUCAUUACUUUAUACGAUGUACACGUAUUUAGAAAUGUUCGUAGUGGUGCUUGAAUCAACCCUUGGUGAUGUCAAACGUACUAAAGAUUGGAACAUACGUCGGUUUAAGCUGAUGAUAGCAUACAAACAUCACAUAUUUAUGCUUAGAUUUUGGAAAAAGGUAGUAAAUCUUUACAAGUGGGGUAUGUUACUACACAUUGUGUCCAGUGGUAUGGAAAUAGCGUUGAUUCUGAUAUCAGAGUUGAUUCAUUUUGAGAUUCUAUCGAUUUGUCAUCUUAGCUUGUACCUGGUGGGGACAAUAUUUGUUGGCACACUAGGCGAAAAUUUAAUUAGUCUUGGAGAUAAAAUUCGAAACUCCACGUUUUAUGCUUGUCCUUGGGAUGGAGAUAUAGAAAGUGUCAAGUACCUUCUUUUUAUGAAUUUGAAUUCUAGAAAAGGAUUCAAUUUGCCAGCUGGGAAUUAUGCAAUUUGUUCCAAUGCACUGGCACUA